rnacentral:tRNA from 1 species
GCCGAAGUGGCGGAAUUGGUAGACGCGCUAGAUUCAGGAUCUAGUGAAGGUUUACUUCGUGCGGGUUCGAGUCCCGCCUUCGGCA